rnacentral:rRNA from 1 species
UAAGGAAUAUUGGACAAUGCUCGCAAGAGUGAUCCAGCCAUGCCGCGUGCAGGAAGAAGGCGCUAUGCGUCGUAAACUGCUUUUACACCGGAGAAAACCUUCCCUCGUGAGGGGAGCUGAUAGUAUGGUGAGAAUAAGCAUCGGCUAACUUCGUG